rnacentral:rRNA from 1 species
CUCAACGCUGGCGGCUAUGCCUAACACCAUGCAAGUUCGAACGGGAAAGUGGGAGCAAUCCCAUUGAGUAUAAGUGGCGCACGGCUGUGAGUAACAACGUGACUAACCUACCUCUGAGUGUGGGACAACUAACCCCGGGAAACGCGGUGGCUAACACCGCAUAAUACCGCAAGGUCAACAUGCGCAAGCAGCUCUUAGAGAGGGGCUGGGUCGCGGUCUGAUUAGCUAGUUGGUAGGGUAAUGGCCUACCAAGGGCAAUGAUCAAUAGCCGGCCUGAGAGGGCGCACCGGCCACACUGGAACUGAAACACCGGUCAGACUCCUACGGGACGGCAGCAGUGGGGAAUUUCGCGCAAUGGGGGAAACCCUGACGCAGCAAUGCCGCGUGGAGGAUGAAGGUCCUUUGGGAUGUAAACUCCUUUCGAUCGGGAAGAUAAUGACGGUACCGGAAGAAGUAAGCCCCGGCUAACUCUGUGCCAGCAGCCGCGGUAAUACAGAGGGUGGGCAAGCGGUUGUUCGGAAUUAUUGGCGUAAAGGGUGCGUAGGCGGUGGCGGUGCGAAGUCACGCUAGUGAAAUCUCCUGGCUGCAACUACUUGCAGAUGCCUGCAGCGGAAACUGCCGUGCUGUAGUGUGGGGAGGUAUUCGUGGAAUUCUCCGGUGUAGCGGGUUGAAAUGCGUAGAUAUCGGGAGGAACACGCUGUGCGGAAAAGCGGCCUACUGGACCACAACUGACGCUGAGUGCGACGAAAGCUAGGGGAGCUAAACAGGAUUUAGAUACCCUGGUAGUCCUAGCCCUAAACGUAUGGAUGCAUUGGUGUGUAGCAGGAUACCCAAUCCGAUGCUGUGCCGGAGCUUAACGCAUAAGCAUCCCGCCCUGGGGAGUACGGUCGCAAGGCUGAAACUCCAAAGGAAUUGACGGGGGCCCGCACAAGCGGUGGAGCAUGUGGUUUAAUUCGACUGCAACGCGAAGAAACCUUACCUAGGGCUUGAACAGCCGAGUCGUCUGCAGAGGAUACGGGACCUGCCCGCAAGGGACUCGUAGCAGGUGCUGCAUGGCUGUCGUCAGCUCGUGUCGUGAGAUGUUGGGUUAAGUCCCGCAACGAGCGCAACCCUUCGUUGCUGUUGCCAUCACGUUAUGGUGGGCACUCUGCAAAGACUGCCGGUGAUAAACCGGAGGAAGGUGGGGAUGACGUCAAGUCAGCAUGGCCCUUUAUGUCCUAGGGCUACACACGUAGCUACAAUGGCCGAUACAAACAGGGUGCGCAGAGUCCCGAAGGGACGGAGCUAAUCGCGAGAAAGUCGGUCUCAGUGUCGGAUCGUAGGCUGCAACUCGACUCGCGUGAAGUCGGAAUCGCUAGUAAUCGCGGAUCAGCACUUGCCGCGGUGAAUACGUUCCCGGGCCUUGUACACACCGCCCGUCACAUCCACUGGAAAGCGGUCUGCUGUACCUAGAAGUCGCCGUCCACUAACCCGCAAGGGAGGGCGGCGUCCUAAGGUAUGGUCCGGUGACUUGGGGUG